CUAAGUGGAGUCUCUGUGUCACAGAGGGCUUGGAAUUUUCCAACUCUAGACCUCCAUUUGAGGGAAAGUCCUGAACUGUUCCAGGCUUCUUUCCCCAGUCACAGCAGUGCCUCACCCCUUCCAGACCUCCUACAGCUUUGAAAAGGCCUACCAAAGCAUCUGUAAUGUCCACCUCCAUUUCCUGCAGCGGGUCUGGAUGUGAGUUUCCUGGAGUCUUAUCAGCAUGAAGAAUCUUGAGCCAUUUCUGAUGUGGUCUGCCUGCUUCCCAAAUCCUCUUCAUCAAUCCAACGUAAUCUGAUUCCAAAUUAAGAAAUUAUCAGUUCUUCUGUACAAAUGGACGUAGGGUGCUCCAAGUGUUUCAUAAUUUCUUUGUCUUUAACUCUUGUAUAACACAUUAUCCUUUGCCAUUUGAGGAAGAAAUGACUUUUACAUCCCUACUCUUCUGUUUAUUGUUAAAUUGUUUUUGUCCCUUUGGAUGCUUCAAAAUGGCCAUUUGCAUCUUUCUUUCUAUAAUUGUGUUUUGUCUUUUUGAACCAGGAUUUGGCCAAGUCAGUUCACUCUGAGCUUUAAUUUCCUCAUCUGUCAAGCAGUUGGACUAGAUCAGGGCUAGCAAUCUUCCUCUGUAAAGGGCCAGAUAAACUAAAAGGGGCCUUAGAAGCCAUCACGUCCAGGCACCCUGUGUGCCACAGAAGGAAAAAGUGGCCCGGAAAGGCUAAGUGACUGACCCAUGCUCACACAGGUGGCAGGUGAGUGGCAUUUCAGGGUCAUAGCAUGAGUCUGUUGGCUCUCUGUCUGGGUCACCCCCACCACUGUGCAUGGCCUCCAGCACUUAAAUGUGUAUGCUGGUAUGCUGGGUUACGUUUAUUAGCAGAAUGAGAUGUUUGUGUGUGUGUGUUGGGGGGAGAUUGUCCCUGAGCUAACAUCCAUGCCAAUCUUCCUCUAUUUUGUAUGUGGGACACCACCACAGCAUGGCUUGAUGAGUGGUGCAUAGGUCUGUGCCUGGGAUCCAAACCCAUGAACCUUGGGCCACCAAAUUGGAACACACGAACAUAACCCCUAUGCCAGUACGCUGGCCCCAGAAUGAGAUCAUUUUUGAGAGCUACAAGUUUGGAGACCACUUUUACCUGGAAAUGGCAUUUUAUGUAUCCUUCUAUUUAAGUAAAAGCAAGAGCAUGAACAUUUUAUUUGAAUGAAUGUAUAAACUACUCCCUGCCAUAAAACACUAAAGAAGUUGUGUAGUAUGUACUUUUUGGUGUUGUUGUGACUAAGGCCAAAUUAGACAAUGGCUUAAGUGAACUCAGAGCAACUUGCAGAUAUCCAACAUUUAUGACACUAGAACUAAAAAAUAAGUAAAGUAAAUGUACCUAGACCAUUUUCUUGGGUGAUUUGCACUGAAGUACUAAACAGAAGAAUAGUCACACAUAUACACACACAUGCAGAAGGAAGAUUUUUGGUUUGUCCCCUCAGACUGGUAGAAUUAGCACAAAUAAGUUAAAAACUACCCCAGACAAGCUGUGCACAGGUCAUGCUACUUCUACCUUCCAAGGAGCCCUGCAAAGUAUUGGUGACAAAAGCCUUGUUUUUGCAGCAAGAUUGAGUCAGUCACAGUGCAGCCAGCUUAAAAUUUGAGGCACUGUUUUAAAGUCUAUCAGUCCCCACCCCAAAUGCCCAACUGGAUCGACCAGGCAAUGAGACAGGUCAUCACAACAGCCUGCAUUCUCCUUUCACUUUUUAUCUGCUAAAAAUGGAAAAGGGUUUUCUAGGGGUGUGUGUGCAUGUAUACGUGUGUCUCUGUGUGUGUGCACGCAUGUGUUGGGGUGGGGACUGGGCAGCUGCUUUAAAAAUUCACUGCUCUCCUUUGCCUUUUUGGUGACCAGGAAAGUCAGAAGCAGAAGUUGGGAUAAGAAGGAAUUUUAUGAAAAACAGCCCCUAAGAACAGGUUUUAAGAUGGUAGUGGAGGGAGGAGGAGGUGGACCGGAAAGAAAAGACUGUUCCAGCAAUUCCCAUCUGGAACUUGGUUUAUACUUCCUGAAUCCUCACACUAUCUCUGCAGUUUCUUAACUUCCAGGAGAGUCUUUGCCUUAGCAGCCAACUCUCGCAAGUAUGACUGGUGAUCCAGAGAGAGAGAGACUGCGGCAAAGAGGGAGCUAAGAGAUGCCUCGGGCAGCUUUUCAGGUGGCCCACAUCCUUCCAUAGUAACCGUGUUGUGGAUCACAGGCUCACUCACCUUUCUGCUACCUUCCCUGAGCCCUUCUGCACUCAUGCCUGGGAAGAAGAAGAAUUGGAAGUCCCAGCAGAAGCUAGAAUGAUGCAUGCUCAGGUCUCUACCAACCAGAUAUGAAGCUAACAACAUAACAUAGUCAGGCCUUGGUGAUUGAAGGAUUCAGCAAGAUGCCCUGAAGCACCCAGCCAAGAGGCUAGGUCCACUCUCAUAUGUAGAACCUGAUCUUGCAGGUGCUAAACCAUAUCUCCCUGUUCCCCAGACCUUUCAGGAGGUCAAGCCUUCAUCUCAAAAGGAAAGGAUGCCAGCUUUACACUUUGCAGGGUGGGAAAUGAGUGGCUUAGCUUUUCCUCUAGGGUAAAGAGGCCCUGGGACUUGGUGAUCAUCUUGAAUCUGGCAGCCUGCCUUCCCUGUUCCCUUAACCACACACACCACCCCGUCAGCACCUGGAAAGGAGCAUCUGCCCACGCCCACUCAGUCACAAAUUCUAGACUGUCUCACUUUCCGCACAUCUGGCUCCGUUCUUGGGCAUAUUUGACUCCUAUCCUCUCAGUGUUGUCUUCCUUUUCCCACCCGUUUCUAGAUCUGCGGAACUUUAUUCACGUUUGUUUAUUCAUUUAUUAUCUAUUCCUGCCACUAAUAUUGGGUGCCACCAUGUGCAGGCAUUGUGCUGAUGCUGGGGAUAUAUGUGAUGGAGAGCAAGAUAAAGGAGAUUCCUGUGUGCUUGGGACUGAAAGUUUAGCAUUGAAGAAGACAGUCGAGAAAUAAUCCCCUAAGCACUUACAUCCUUAUCAUGUGUGUGUGUGACCCCGGGAACACUUCCAUGGACACAAAUUCUGCACCUGCCUUCUGCCUGUACCUGGACUUGUCAGGGAACCACCCAGUCUAGUCCAAACCCUCCCCGGGACUACACCAGGACAUCAGCCCACCUGGCCAGCAUCCCUGGUGGUCCCUGACAGUGGGUAGCUGAAUCGUGGACCAUCUGACUGUUCCAGCUUUGCAUACCACCUAGCACAGGGCCUGCAUGUAGUAG
rnacentral:lncRNA from 1 species